AUGACUCACGGGGUACGUGGGGAUCAGGGGAUCCUAAUCUGACACUGGACACGGGAGUCUUGCUUUGUUGCUUUUUCCCGAUCGUACUGUUACAAUUCUCAGGCUCAAGGCCUUGCAUCGCUUUUUUAAUUAUCACUAGAUACAUCCAAAAGAAAGCAUGAAAGAAACCUGUCACCCGCCAGUGACCGCCCUUAACAACGGAGACCUAAAUGAAAGUUUCUAGAAGGCGAUCCUCUUUUGAAAAUGGGGUCAGCGUGAGGGGGAGCGUGUCGACUGGCAAGACGGUUCAGUGGGUGAAGACACUCGCCACCAAACCCGAUGAUCUGGCUACAACUCCCCGAAACUUACAUGUUACCGUGACGUCAGUGGCAGAGUGAUGGAGGCAUGCAGUGAUGCACCGUGGAGUGUCCUGGCUAAGGACCAGGGAGCUUUGGCUUAAAAUCCAUCCCUUCCAUUUACCCAGCCUGGGGAAUGGGCUCACUGUUUCAACCAUCACGUUCUUACCUUCAAAAA